UACGUAGGUGGCAAGCGUUGUCCGGAUUUACUGGGCGUAAAGGAUGCGUAGGCGGACAUUUAAGUCAGAUGUGAAAUCCCGGAGCUUAACUCCGGAACUGCGUCUGAAACUGCACGACUAGAGCAUUGGAGAGGGUAGUGGAAUUCACGGUGUAGCAGUGAAAUGCGUAGAUAUCAUGAGGAACACCAGAGGCGAAGGCGACUACCUGGACAAUUGCUGACACUCAGGCACGAAAGCAUGGGGAGCAAAAGGG
rnacentral:rRNA from 1 species